GCAUUGUAGACUCAGUAUUGAUAAGUUGACUUAUAACAUUGUUUCUGAAAUGGAGACACCAACACAAAACUGAAAACUGAAGGUUAAGAGCAAGUGUCUCUGCCUCAGCAGAGGAAGUAUAGGGAAGCAGAGCCAGCACUUCAGGUGCCCACUGAUCAUGGCAGCGCUCCUCUGUGGUUCUCACUCGCACGGAUUCCUACCAAAGGAGUUUCUAUGUACACUGUGAACAAUUCUUCACAAAUUUUUUGAUAAUUUAGGCAGCUAAAUGGAGUAUGGCUUUCCUGUUUUCUUCAAGAGCAGAACGUGU